GACGAACGCUGGCGGCGUGCCUAAUACAUGCAAGUCGAGCGGACUAAUGGGAGCUUGCUCCCGUUAGUUAGCGGCGGACGGGUGAGUAACACGUGGGCAACCUACCUGUAAGACUGGGAUAACUUCGGGAAACCGGAGCUAAUACCGGAUGACAUAAAGGAACUCCUGUUCCUUUAUUGAAAGAUGGCCUCGGCUAUCACUUACAGAUGGGCCCGCGGCGCAUUAGCUAGUUGGUGAGGUAACGGCUCACCAAGGCGACGAUGCGUAGCCGACCUGAGAGGGGGACCGGCAACACUGGGACGGAGACACGGCCCAGACUCCUACGGGAGGCAGCAGUAGGGAAUCUUCCGCAAUGGACGAAAGUCUGACGGAGCAACGCCGCGUGAGCGAUGAAGGCCUUCGGGUCGUAAAGCUCUGUUGUUAGGGAAGAAUAAGUGCUAGUUGAAUAAGCUGGCACCUUGACGGUACCUAACCAGAAAGCCACGGCUAACUACGUGCCAGCAGCCGCCGUAACAC
rnacentral:rRNA from 1 species